rnacentral:misc_RNA from 1 species
AAUUAAAUUGUCUCAGCCUUGUUAUGACGUGACCUUUCGGGGGAAAACACCUGCAGGAGUGAUCACUGGACAAUCCAAAGAUGUGGCACUCACUUACGAUCGUUGCCCGCUUGUGUCGUCUUUUUGUGUUUUCUAUCCGCGCAACAUUUAUGAUAAUGUUCGGGAGAUAUAUUCCCGCAAUGGAUCGAAAUAUCAUGCAAGAUUUCAGGGAAAUAAUGUUGGAAUCUCAUCUUGAAGAGAAUGAUUGGAAAGACACUGUGUACACAUUUGUUCACCUUAAAGCAAUGAUAAGUGCACGUCUUUACGAGGUGUUCCGAGAGGCAGAUCUGUACCAAGAUGCCCCUAAUGGUGACGUCAUUAAACCUGAUCUCUCUAAGACGCGUCUCCUCGAAUAUCAGAAAAAAGACCGACCGCUUGUUCUGAACUUUGGGAGCUGUACCUGACCACCGUUCAUAAAGAAGCUUGAGCAUUUCAAGGACUUGAUUGCUCGCUUUGGUCACGUGGCUGACUUUUUAAUCGUAUAUAUAGCUGAAGCACAUCCUAGUGAUGGCUGGAAGUUUAAAAAUAAUUUCGAUAUCGAUAAUCAUAAAAGAAUUCAGAAUCGAAUGAAAGCGGUCGAAACCUUGAGAAAACAGCAAUCAAGUUGUGAGGUUGUUGCAGACGACAUUUCCAAUGAUUUGAAUUAUAAGUAUGGCGCUAUGUUUGAACGUCUGUUCAUCGUUUUGAACGGAAAAGUUGUGUACCUGGGACAGAGAGGGCCACAGGGAUAUCAUUUGGAGGAGGUGGAAGAGUGGCUGACCAAAUACACGUCAUAGUGUUAUUGACGUUAUAAAAAAGUCACAAAACACCUGGCGUAGCCAAUUUGUUCAACUCCUCUUGUUCAUUCUGCAGAAAAAGAAAUUGAUAAUGAAAAUACAACAUGACAUGCACAGUUCAAUUUUCUUCUUAACAAUUUUUAGUUUCCUCGUUAUAUUUGUGGCAAAGAAAUAGGGGAAAUUAAACUCGUCAGCUAUAACCGUGUUAUACGAUUCAUAUAUAUCAGAUGGAUUUAACAAAUUGUUUUGAUGUAUUGAAAUAAUCAUCAUGCACAAAGGUU